GACGAACGCUGGCGGCGUGCUUAACACAUGCAAGUCGAACGGAAAGGCCCUGCUUUUGUGGGGUGCUCGAGUGGCGAACGGGUGAGUAACACGUGAGUAACCUGCCCUUGACUUUGGGAUAACUUCAGGAAACUGGGGCUAAUACCGGAUAGGAGCUCCUGCUGCAUGGUGGGGGUUGGAAAGUUUCGGCGGUUGGGGAUGGACUCGCGGCUUAUCAGCUUGUUGGUGGGGUAGUGGCUUACCAAGGCUUUGACGGGUAGCCGGCCUGAGAGGGUGACCGGCCACAUUGGGACUGGGAUGCGGCCCAGAGUGCUACGGGAGGCAGCAGUGGGGAAUAUUGCACGAUGGGCGGAAGCCUGAUGCAGCAACGCCGCGUGCGGGAUGACGGCCUUCGGGUUGUAAACCGCUUUCGCCUGUGACGAAGCGUGAGUGACGGUAAUGGGUAAAGAAGCACCGGCUAACUACGUG
rnacentral:rRNA from 1 species